UAGGGAAUCUUCGGCAAUGGACGAAAGUCUGACCGAGCAACGCCGCGUGAGUGAAGAAGGUUUUCGGAUCGUAAAACUCUGUUGUUAGAGAAGAACAAGGACGUUAGUAACUGAACGUCCCCUGACGGUAUCUAACCAGAAAGCCACGGCUAACUACGUGCCAGCAGCCGCGGUAAUACGUAGGUGGCAAGCGUUGUCCGGAUUUAUUGGGCGUAAAGCGAGCGCAGGCGGUUUCUUAAGUCUGAUGUGAAAGCCCCCGGCUCAACCGGGGAGGGUCAUUGGAGGCUGGGUGAGUGGAGUGCAGAAGAGGGGAGUGGAAUUCCAUGUGUAGCGGUGAAAUGCGUAGAUAUAUGGAGGAACACCAGUGGCGAAGGCGGCUCUCUGGUCUGUAACUGACGCUGAGGCACGAAGGCGUGGGGAGCAAACAGG
rnacentral:rRNA from 1 species